rnacentral:rRNA from 1 species
AUUGAACGCUGGCGGCAUGCCUAACACAUGCAAGUCGAACGGCAGCACAGAGGAGCUUGCUCCUUGGGUGGCGAGUGGCGGACGGGUGAGUAAUGCAUCGGGAUCUACCCUGACGUGGGGGAUAACCUCGGGAAACCGGGACUAAUACCGCAUACGUCCUACGGGAGAAAGCGGGGGACCUUUUAGGCCUCGCGCGGCAGGACGAACCGAUGUGCGAUUAGCUAGUUGGCGGGGUAAUGGCCCACCAAGGCGACGAUCGCUAGCUGGUCUGAGAGGAUGAUCAGCCACACUGGGACUGAGACACGGCCCAG